rnacentral:rRNA from 1 species
AUGAAGGAUCACUUUGAUCUACACAACAAAAGUGGAAUUGACCGCUCGGGAAGAUCUCUUCGCUCCCGGUGGUCGACAAUCAACCGAGAUUGUCAAAGGUGGGCGGCCGCGCUUAAGGCGGUUGACACGUUGAACCCAAGUGGCACUAAUGACAGAGAUAGGCUCACUAUUGCACAAAACUUAUUUCAAGGAGAGGAGAAGAAGACCAAGAAAGGGAAGGUCAAGAAAGGGAGACCAUUUACCUUGCCUCAUUGCUAUGAAGCGUUGAAGGAUGAUGAGAAAUGGAAGCCCGUGAUGGUGUCGAUGAUGAGGUGA